rnacentral:rRNA from 1 species
UACGUAGGUGGCAAGCGUUGUCCGGAAUUAUUGGGCGUAAAGCGCGCGCAGGUGGUUCCUUAAGUCUGAUGUGAAAGCCCACGGCUCAACCGUGGAGGGUCAUUGGAAACUGGGGAACUUGAGUGCAGAGGAGGAAAGUGGAAUUCCAAGUUUAGCGGUGAAAUGCGUAGAGAUUUGGAGGAACACCAGUGGCGAAGGCGACUUUCUGGUCUGUAACUGACACUGAGGCGCGAAAGCGUGGGAGCAAACAGG